rnacentral:rRNA from 1 species
UCGAACGGUAGCAGAACUAGCUUGCUAGUUGCUGACGAGUGGCGGACGGGUGAGUAAUACUUAGGGAUCUGCCCUUUGGAGGGGGAUAACCAUUGGAAACGAUGGCUAAUACCGCAUAUCGCCUACGGGCAAAAGGGGGGUUUACCUCCCGCCAAAGGAUGAACCUAAGCGAGAUUAGCUAGUUGGUGAGGUAAAGGCUCACCAAGGCGACGAUCUCUAGCUGUUCUGAGAGGAAGAUCAGCCACACUGGGACUGAGACACGGCCCAGACUCCUACGGGAGGCAGCAGUGGGGAAUAUUGCACAAUGGGGGAAACCCUGAUGCAGCCAUGCCGCGUGUGUGAAGAAGGCCUUCGGGUUGUAAAGCACUUUCAGUUGUGAGGAAAGGGUUGUGGUUAAUACCCGCAAUCUGUGACGUUAGCAACAGAAGAAGCACCGGCUAACUCCGUGCCAGCAGCCGCGGUAAUACGGAGGGUGCGAGCGUUAAUCGGAAUUACUGGGCGUAAAGCGCACGCAGGCGGUCUGUUAAGCUAGAAGUGAAAGCCCCGCGCUCAACGUGGGAAGGCCUUUUAGAACUGGCAGACUAGAGUUUUGGAGAGGGGAGUGGAAUUCCAGGUGUAGCGGUGAAAUGCGUAGAUAUCUGGAGGAACAUCAGUGGCGAAGGCGACUCUCUGGCCAAAGACUGACGCUCAUGUGCGAA